GCUCAAAACAACUUUAGAUCUAUCAGGUAACAGAUAAUUUACCAAACGCUUUUCUACAAUCAGUUAAUGUUAUCAACUAAUCAUUCCCUCUAAC